UGGAAGACAGGAUUUAAAUUUUUGGGUGAUCCAUCCCUUUAAAAAUGAGAAAAUUGUGUUUUUGUUAAAUAUAAUAAUUUUAAUGUUAUUAUUGCAGGAAUUACACAGUGACUUGACAAGUGGCAAAUAAGGUCCAACAGGAUUUUUUUGCAUAAACAUCCAACAUUUUUCCCUAAACUGAAUAGGAAACUUGAUCUAAGUAUUAGUAUAUUUAAUGAACAACAGACUGAGGGGAUUUAAAUUAAAAAGAAUUUAAAAAGUCACACAGAUUUGAAAACACAGACAUGAAAGAAUUGAGUAAUACGUCCUACGUUCUGGAAGUUCUAACUCCUGAGGUAACCUUCUUAAUUCUCAAAAGACAGAGGGCUUCCACAGGUUCCAGUCAGAAAUGGCUAUGCAAACAAAUAGACAUUUACAGCAAACCUCAGAUUGCAAUCCAAAAUGGUUUUGAUGACAAAGGGAUGCCUUCUGUUGCUGUGCAAGACAUAUCACUGUCAGGACUUUCUUACCCAUUGUUUUUUACACGUAUAUCUUUUUGUAUGGUUAAGCCUGAAAACGAAACCA